rnacentral:rRNA from 1 species
GACGAACGCUGGCGGCGUGCCUUACACAUGCAAGUCGAACGGAGUGGCGAACGGGUGAGUAAUGUAUCGGAACGUGCCCAGUAGCGGGGGAUAACUACGCGAAAGCGUAGCUAAUACCGCAUACUAUUGGAGCGGCCGAUAUCGGAUUAGCUAGUUGGUGGGGUAACGGUUCACCAAGGCCACGAUCCGUAGCUGGUUUGAGAGGACGACCAGCCAAACUAGGACUGAGACACUGCCCAAACUCCUACGGGAGGCAGCAGUUGGGAAUUUUUGACAAUGGGGGAAACCCUGAGCCAGCCAUCCCGCGUAUGUGAUGAAGGCCUUCGGGUUGUAAAGCACUAUCAGCGAGGAGGCGUUACUCGCAGAAGAAGCACCGGCUAACUCCGUGCCAGCCGCCGCGGUAAUUC